rnacentral:misc_RNA from 1 species
AAUUCUCAACUCCCCUCAGAUUCCAUCUGUAGGGUGAGCUUGGACUUGGAGGUUUCUGCUGGCGUUCGCCGGCUCCUCUUGAAAUCAUUAGCUUUGAGUUGAUCUUGAUGGCUUGACCGGUGUGAUAAACAUCUACGCCGAUUUGUGCCGUCCUGAGCGACGAAUGUCGGAGACGCUCUGGCUUAUAACUGUCUUCACCAGAGAGGACGAUGCCCUGAAC